AUGCGUAGAAGCAGGGAGGAGGAUAUCAUGCCGAGGGAGGUCAGUGAGAGGAGGAGGAGGAGGAGGAGGGCACACAUGGCCACCGCAAGAGAUGAUUGCGGGGCAUCGCUUCCAUACGAGAUGAUCAUAGAGAUUCUGCAGUGGCUUCCUGUCAAAUCCGUCUUCCGCUUCAGAGCAGUUUGCCGCUCCUGGGCUGCGCUGCUCUCCUCCGAUGAAUUCCGCCGCCUCCACAUGUCAGUAGCCAAGGACGCAAGGCGGCGUGCACCACCAGCCAAGCUGCUAUACAUCUCACCGACCGCCACAUUCGACUCCACGGCGGUCUACUCGUGCCCCUUCUCGCCAUCAUCAUCAUCGGGGCGCCCCAGAGAUCGUGGGGACCUACUGUUCACCAUCGACGGUGCCCGUGGCAACUGUGUGGAAGUAGCGACGCCGGCACCAUGCCGUGGCCUCACCCUCCUCUAUGACGCUCUCGGUGGAGCUUUCUACAUCUGCAACGCGGCAACACGAGCUGCUACGCGUCUGCCAGCUUCCACUGAGGAACGAGCAGCCAGGUCCACUGCUGGGCUGGGGUUUGAUGCCCACACAGAUGAGUACAAAGUGGUGAGGUUGAUCAAUAGGUUGUGUCAUCAGAAGGACAUGGUGAGGUGUGAGAUUUACACACCUGGAGGCCGCUUUGGGGAUCGCUGGAGGCCGCCUGCGGGAGGAGUACCCUUGAGCUUGCAUCAGUUUGUAUAUGCCGCUGUUACAAAUGCGGAAUUGAACAAAUUACCUCCUGUGUUUGCCAAGGGUUGCCUGCACUGGUUGAUGAGACCUGCCUCUUUCACCACGACUCCAAGUGUUGCUGUCGUGUCCUUCUCGGUCACAGAGGAGACCUUCACAUGUCUCCGGUCACCGCCCUUCUGGGUACCAGGAGCGCCGCCGAUCAGGUAUGGGUUGUCAGAAGAGCAACUAGUGGAGAUGGAUGACCAACUAUGUUUGGUCCGAGAUACUCGCAACACAAUGCUUUAUGCUAAUGUUUUGGAGAUCUGGAAACUGCCGGACUAUAGCUCUGGUGACUGGUUACUGAGUCACCGGAUCAAUUUGUCGAGCCACCUGGCAAGAGAUUUACGCGAAUCACAAAUUCUGAGAGUUAUUGGAUGUUUUGGCAUCAAUUCCAGCUCGCCAAGGAAGAAGAUAGUCGUCACUACUAGCAAGCACAAGAUUUUCGACAAGUAUCAGAAAAUGGUUCACACGUAUGACCCUAGGUCUGAAGCUCUAGAAACCAUUCUUUCAAUCACGGAGACACACUCAACUCCAUAUUAUGGGCCCCCUAGUUCAAGGUUUAGUUUCAUUCAAGAGACCCUUGCUCCUGUGCAUAAAACAGAUGAAGAGAUAGCCUUAUCAUCUGACCUGGCUAAGGUGAUUAGAGAGAUCCUACUCCGCCUCCCAGCUAAAGCAGUGGUACACUCCAAAUUUGUCUGCAAGCAGUGGUUCAGAUUGAUUGAGAGUGAAAACUUCAUUCAGUCAUACUUUCAGCAUAAGAACAUGGACAAAAGACCUAAGGUCAUGCUUCUGGUCAAGGGCACUGGACAGUUGGCCUUCAGUUUUUCUCCCUUGAAUAAAUGCAUCCAAGAAGCUCCUAGUAACAGUACACUACUUGACACAAAGGUGGUUUGCUCCAAGCCUUGCCAUGGGCUGAACUUGGUAAGUACCGAGACGAGGGACUAUCUCUGCAACCCAUGUACAGGUUUCCACAGGGGCUACUCACUGGGGCCAAGUUUGCUGCAGAGUAAAGCAGAAGAACAUGCUUUCACAGUCGGCAAUAAGAAUGUUGGCUUGACUUUCGACCCUUUGACUCAUCAACAUGUUAUGGUGGCAAUCUUCUAUCGCCAGAAGGACUUCAAAUCUCGUCAAUAUGACCUGACAUGCACGUUACGCUGGUGUAACUCUCGGGAUCGUCCCCAACGGAGCUCGGUACCACCUCUGCCUGUGAAUGACAUGCCACCAGCAUAUGUUGAAGGAAUGCUGUACUGGAUGAGUGAACCAAGGUUGGGACGGAGCUGUGAAUGGACCAUUGUCUCUUUCAACCUUGCUACAAGAAUUUUUGAUGUUGUCCCUUGCCCUUCAUGGUUUGCAAGAUGGAAUAGCAGAAACCGUUGCCGUGCAUUUGUUGUUGAGCUUGAGGGAGUAUUAUGUGCUGUUCUAGCAGAUCCAGUGGCAGAAAAAUUAGAUGUAUGGAAGCUAGAGCGUGGCCAAUGGGGUAGAGCAUUCACAAUUCACCUGGAAGCGUAUCCUGACUAUUCCCUUAAGACAAGUGUUGUGGUGCCAUUAGCUGUUGAUCACGAUUAUGGGAGGAUCCUGCUCAACACUGGAAGGAAAAUAGGACUGUACGAUCCAGUAGAGCAAGCAAUUCAAAAUUUGUAUUCACUUGAUCAGGUGCCGGUUGUCAGAAGUUGUAGUAGUCCACACCAUAAGUUUCUUGAUAUGCCUUCAACUUCAGCAGCGAAUAGUUUGACAUGCUCCAAAGAAGACUCAGCGGCGGAGAUGAAUAGAAUGGACUCUAAGAUGAUUCCUUGUGUUCCAAUGUUAUAUGAGGAGAGCUUGGCAUGUUACACCCGUGUGGCCAAGAAACAAUUGUUGUGGUGA
rnacentral:rRNA from 1 species